GGAUGCCGCUGCACUGUUACAAUUGUCCGUUUAGUUGAAACACAAAAUUGGUGGUAUCCAGCUUGCAACUUAUGCAAAAAGUCAUGCUUGCCAGAAGGUUCAUCUUACAGAUGUCCUAAAUGCAACAUAUUGGACAUGUACACAUACAAAUACAAGCUGCCAUUUUUUUCUUCCGAUGGAACUGAAGAAUCAGAGAUGAUUGCCUUCGCUGCUAUUGCUCAAGCCAUUGUUGGCAAACCAGUUGAAACUGUGAUGAGAUCAAUAAGAAAUAGAGACAAUAUUCCUCCUGAUAUUGCAGCCAUUGUAUCUUCCAAAUUCACUUUCUCUGUCGCAAUGACAGAGUCUAGCUUCAGCAAACCAAAGAAAUCCUACCAAGUCAACAGCAUAUUGCACAACUAUGGGAAACAACAUGCUCUACCAUUCCACGGUCCAAAUCAAGCUCAACUGUUAAAUGAAAAUACCCAGUUACCUGCCCAGCCUAGUGCAAGUACUUCUCCAUCAUACAUUCCUCCUGGUAGUUCUCAAAAUCCUCUCCAUGAAACUCCAACCAAAAUACUACCACUAGACCAGAUCCUCCUGCAAACUCCACC